rnacentral:rRNA from 1 species
UACAGAGGUCCCAAGCGUUGUUCGGAUUCAUUGGGCGUAAAGGGUGCGUAGGCGGCGCGGUAAGUCGGGUGUGAAAUCUCGGAGCUUAACUCCGAAACUGCAUUCGAUACUGCCGUGCUUGAGGACUGGAGAGGAGACUGGAAUUUACGGUGUAGCGGUGAAAUGCGUAGAUAUCGUAAGGAAGACCAGUGGCGAAGGCGGGUCUCUGGACAGUUCCUGACGCUGAGGCGCGAAGGCCAGGGGAGCAAACGGG